rnacentral:rRNA from 1 species
AUUGAACGCUGGCGGCAGGCCUAACACAUGCAAGUCGAGCGGAGCGGCGGACGGGAGAGUAAUGACUAGGAAUCUGCCUGGUAGUGAGGGAUAACGUACGGCAAAGGGCGCUAAUACCGCAACCUAUAAGAUGCGCAUAGGGCGGAUUAGCUAGUUGGUGGGUGAAAGGCCUACCAAGGCGACGAUCCGUAACCGGUCUGAGAGGAUGAUCAGGCACACGGGAACUGAGACACGGUCCAGACUCCGACGGGAGGCAGCAGUGGGGAAUAUUGGACAAUGGGCGAAAGCCUGAUCCAGCCAUGCCGCGUGUGUGAAGAAGGUCUUCGGAUUGUAAAGCACUUUAAGUUGGGAGGCGUUACCAACAGAAUAAGCACCGGCUAACUUCGUGCCAGCAGCCGCGGUAAUUC